AAUAGAUACCCGGGUAGUCCACGCCGUAAACGAUGAGUGCUAAGUGUUAGAGGGUUUCCGCCCUUUAGUGCUGCAGCUAACGCAUUAAGCACUCCGCCUGGGGAGUACGGUCGCAAGACUGAAACUCAAAGGAAUUGACGGGGGCCCGCACAAGCGGUGGAGCAUGUGGUUUAAUUCGAAGCAACGCGAAGAACCUUACCAGGUCUUGACAUCCUCUGACAACUCUAGAGAUAGAGCGUUCCCCUUCGGGGGACAGAGUGACAGGUGGUGCAUGGUUGUCGUCAGCUCGUGUCGUGAGAUGUUGGGUUAAGUCCCGCAACGAGCGCAACCCUUGAUCUUAGUUGCCAGCAUUUAGUUGGGCACUCUAAGGUGACUGCCGGUGACAAACCGGAGGAAGGUGGGGAUGACGUCAAAUCAUCAUGCCCCUUAUGACCUGGGCUACACACGUGCUACAAUGGAUGGUACAAAGGGCUGCAAGACCGCGAGGUCAAGCCAAUCCCAUAAAACCAUUCUCAGUUCGGAUUGUAGGC
rnacentral:rRNA from 1 species